ensembl:lncRNA
AAUUCAAGCUCCGUAAUAAAGCUAGUAUGAGUUAGUUUAAUGCCAAUCAGAACUGAAGCGAAAUAUUUCACCUUCCUUGCAUUAAUUCUAUGCUUCUACUCUAUGAAAAUUACGUAAUGGAUGUGCUACUUUCUCAGCUGUUGCUUGGGAAGUAAAUGUUGAACAACUGAAAUGGUUUGCAAGACAGAAAUCCUUCCUCACCAACUAUACCAGCUCUUGGCACACACAGGUGCCAGUGCAAACUCCCUGCUCUUUAGUCUGGUACUAAUUGGCAACUUCAACUCUCUGCAUCCCCGGGAUAACAUAUCUUUGAAGCAAUUAAACAGAUAAAGAGGAGGAUCUGAUGUGACCAGAACCUACAUGAGAAAAUUAAGAGGAGAGAGAAAGGGUGCUGCUGCUCACAAAGGAUAUCCUAGAUAACCAGUAUAAAACAGGAUUGCACUGCUGGAAGUCAAAACUGGGGAUAUAUUUCUAGGAGAGACACUAAUUUUGGUAAGAAUGACCAGGUGGGACUCCACAGAUUGUGUGGUGCAGUGUUUGGGGGUGAUCACAAAGGCUCCUUCUGUCAUUCACAUCUGACUCACCACGGCUUUAUCGCCCCAUUCCAUUUGUGUAAUAAACUGCCUGCACCUUGAAGACAGCUUGACUCAUCACAUCCAAAGUCACCUGUCAGCUCCUGCCUGCAUUUCUCUAUUCAAAAGGGCAUGGCAGAGAUGAGUAUUUCCCUAAAGCAAAGGCUCUUAUCUCCUGCUCUAUCCUUCCCUCUUGAUCUUAAAUCUUGUUGCCUUCAGCACAGUGAUAUUUACCUGAAUUGCUAUCACAUUCUAUUAUUUAUCUUUUUUUUUUCCCCAGUUCUCUUUUUUCAGUAUCUGUUUUUCAGCUCUCCUCAUCUGGCCCUUCAGCAGAGGACAAACAGGAGACAGGACAAGCACUGCUACACAUCCACAACAACAACUUCAGGGGAAAGUGACAGACUGCAUUUUAUGCUUUUUGUUAAUCAGCUUUCACCUAAAAGUUGCAGGCAUGCAAAGUUUGACUGCAGCUUGACUUCCAGAAGUGACUUCUGCAGAUUGUGCUGAAGUUUUCUUCUCCUGCUCCAGUCAAACAUCUAAGGCUUUUGAAACAUACCACUAUGCGAUCACUUACAAAUGUCUUAUUAGCAUAUACUGAAGUGCAUUUCAUUGUAUGUGUAGCAUGUAUUCUCCAUGUGUGUAUGUAAAGAAUAAAAAGAAAAAGCAGCCAUCGUCUCCCCUCUUUAGAUAUUUUAGAUAUACAGGCAAAUUCAUGUGCUGUUCCCUAUUACCAAUGAAAUUCUUAGCAAUAAAGAAAGAAAAAGCCCUGUCUCAUUACCAUGGAGAUAAUGUGGUUAACACUAUUAGAAUCUCAGCCCCUACAGACAUCCUGCGGCUUCUGGAGAAGGAAGAAAAUGAAUAGAAAUUGAACGGCCCAACCACAAUCAGCAACAAGUAGCAGAUGAAAAAUUCUAGGUUUGCCCCUGAAAAGCCAAGAGAUGAGGAGAGAAAAGGGUUGUGGGUUUUAUUUUUUUAAAUACAUUAAACAAACAUACGC